UUCGGGUGCUGACGAGCGGCGAACGGGUGAGUAACGCGUAGGAAUCUGCCUGAUAGAGGGGGAUAGCCCGGGGAAACUCGGAUUAAUACCGCAUACGCCCUACGGGGGAAAGCAGGGGAUCUUCGGACCUUGCGCUAUCAGAUGAGCCUGCGUCGGAUUAGCUAGUUGGUAGGGUAAAGGCCUACCAAGGCGACGAUCCGUAACUGGUCUGAGAGGAUGAUCAGUCACACUGGAACUGAGACACGGUCCAGACUCCUACGGGAGGCAGCAGUGGGGAAUAUUGGACAAUGGGGGAAACCCUGAUCCAGCCAUGCCGCGUGUGUGAAGAAGGCCUUCGGGUUGUAAAGCACUUUAAGCAGGGAGGAAAGAGCAAUGGCUAAUAUCCAUUGUUUUUGACGCUACCUGCAGAAUAAGCACCGGCUAACUUCGUGCCAGCAGCCGCGGUAAUACGAAGGGUGCAAGCGUUAAUCGGAAUUACUGGGCGUAAAGCGCGCGUAGGCGGUUUGAUAAGUUGGAUGUGAAAGCCCCGGGCUCAACCUGGGAAUUGCAUCCAAGACUGUCAGGCUAGAGUACGGGAGAGGGGGGUAGAAUUCCACGUGUAGCGGUGAAAUGCGUAGAGAUGUGGAGGAAUACCGGUGGCGAAGGCGGCCCCCUGGAUCGAUACUGACGCUGAGGUGCGAAAGCGUGGGGAGCAAACAGG
rnacentral:rRNA from 1 species